GUCUCACAACUGGCAAAGAGAACUGAAGGAGUUCCCUUCCCUUUAUGGCUUUUAUCUCUCUGGCUAAUAGGGGAUGAUGCUUAAAGGAGGUAAUUCUUGAGCAAUAAAUCCAGACUGCAAAUAAAACAAGGGAAGAGGGAGGAAAAUCACAAUGUAAGAAGUUUCCUUUGUUUACUACGCUUAAUUGGGAUUCCACACAUGAAUGAAGAAGAGAAGACGGUCUCUCCCAGGGUGACUGGGAAAGGGAAAAAAAGUGAUGAAGGAACAGUCUGUGCCUCAGGAGCAUAUUAUUUCAAGAAGCACAAAUGAAGAGAAAGUCCAAACCCUCUGGGACAGAUGGACUAAAUAUUUUGGUAUUGGAACCACAUGGGGAAAGGCAGCAGUUGGGAAACAGAAACAGAGGCCUGAUAAGGGAACCUGGAAACAGCAUCAAUCUUCUCAGAAGUUUCCAAGGACUCCAGAUAUGCAGGGAACUGGACACCAAGCUCACGUGAGGAAGGAAUCAAAGUGAAUGAAACAUUGAUCUUGAAGUUAGUAAAAUGCAGUAAGUGAGGAAAAUAUCUGUGUUCUU
rnacentral:lncRNA from 1 species